rnacentral:rRNA from 1 species
UACGUAGGGAGCAAGCGUUGUUCGGAUUUACUGGGCGUAAAGGGCGCGUAGGCGGCAAAUUAAGUCAGCUGUGAAAUCUCCGAGCUUAACUCGGAACGGUCAGCUGAUACUGAUCUGCUAGAGUGCGGAAGGGGCAAUCGGAAUUCUUGGUGUAGCGGUGAAAUGCGUAGAUAUCGGGAGGAACACCUGUGGCGAAAGCGGCUCACUGGACCACAACUGACGCUGAUGCGCGAAAGCUAGGGGAGCAAACAGG